UGGGAUGAGCCGAGAUGGCGCCACUGCA
rnacentral:piRNA from 1 species